rnacentral:rRNA from 1 species
CCUACGGGAGGCUGCAGUGGGGAAUAUUGCACAAUGGUGGAAACCCUGAUGCAGCGACGCCGCGUGAGUGAAGAAGUAAUUCGUUAUGUAAAGCUCUAUCAGCAGGGAAGAAAAUGACGGUACCUGAGUAAGAAGCCCCGGCUAACUACGUGCCAGCAGCCGCGGUAAGACGGAGGGGGCAAGCGUUAUCCGGAUUUACUGGGUGUAAAGGGAGCGUAGACGGCAGUGCAAGUCUGGAGUGAAAGGCGGGGGCUCAACCCCCGGACUGCUCUGGAAACUGUACGGCUGGAGUGCAGGAGAGGUAAGUGGAAUGCCGAGUGUAGCGGUGAAAUGCGUAGAGAUUAGGAGGAACACCAGUGGCGAAGGCGGCUUACUGGACUGUAACUGACGUUGAGGCUCGAAAGCGUGGGGAGCAAACAGGAUUAGAUACCCCAGUAGUC